rnacentral:rRNA from 1 species
ACGGAGGGUGCAAGCGUUGUCCGGAUUUAUUGGGUUUAAAGGGUGCGUAGGCGGAUUAUUAAGUCAGUGGUGAAAGUUUACGGCUCAACCGUAAAAGUGCCAUUGAUACUGGUAGUCUUGAGUACAGUAGAGGUAGGCGGAAUUUAUGGUGUAGCGGUGAAAUGCAUAGAUACCAUAAAGAACACCGAUAGCGAAGGCAGCUUACUAUACUGAGACUGACGCUGAGGCACGAAAGCGUGGGGAGCGAACAGG